UACGGGAGGCAGCAGUGGGGAAUAUUGGACAAUGGGCGCAAGCCUGAUCCAGCCAUGCCGCGUGAGUGAUGAAGGCCCUAGGGUUGUAAAGCUCUUCACCGGUGAAGAUAAUGACGGUA
rnacentral:rRNA from 1 species